GAUGGACGCUAGCGGGAGGCUUAACACAUGCAAGUCGAGGGGCAGCACGAGGUAGCAAUACUUUGGUGGCGACCGGCGCACGGGUGAGUAACGCGUAUGCAACCUACCCUGUACAGGGGGAUAACCCGGAGAAAUUCGGACUAAUACCCCAUAAAGAUAUUUAGAGGCAUCUUUGAAUAUUUAAAGUUCCGGCGGUACGGGAUGGGCAUGCGUAACAUUAGCUAGUUGGUAAGGUAACGGCUUACCAAGGCAACGAUGUUUAGGGGUCCUGAGAGGGUGAUCCCCCACACUGGUACUGAGACACGGACCAGACUCCUACGGGAGGCAGCAGUGAGGAAUAUUGGUCAAUGGGCGCAAGCCUGAACCAGCCAUCCCGCGUGAAGGAAGAAUGCGCUAUGCGUUGUAAACUUCUUUUCCAGGGGAAUAAAAUUUUGUACGUGUACGGAAUUGAAGGUACCCUGGGAAUAAGCAUCGGCUAACUCCGUGCCAGCCGCCGCGGUAAUAC
rnacentral:rRNA from 1 species